rnacentral:rRNA from 1 species
CCUACGGGAGGCAGCAGUGGGGAAUAUUGCACAAUGGGGGAAACCCUGAUGCAGCGACGCCGCGUGAGUGAAGAAGUAUCUCGGUACGUAAAGCUCUAUCAGCAGGGAAGAAAAUGACGGUACCUGACUAAGAAGCCCCGGCUAACUACGUGCCAGCAGCCGCGGUAAUACGUAGGGGGCAAGCGUUAUCCGGAUUUACUGGGUGUAAAGGGUGCGUAGGCGGACUGUUAAGUCAGCGGUAAAAGCCCGGGGCUCAACCCCGGCGAGCCGUUGAAACUGGCUGUCUUGAGAUGUCGAGAGGUAUGCGGAAGGCGCAGGGGAGGGGAGAAAUGCUAAGAUAUGGCGAAGAACGCCGAUUGGGAAGGAAGCA